GAGCGGCGAACGGGUGAGUAACACGUGAGUAACCUGCCCUCAACUUCGGGAUAAGCCUGGGAAACCGGGUCUAAUACCGGAUAGGACCCUGCGUGGCAUCGUGCGGGGUGGAAAGUUUUUUCGGUUGGGGAUGGGCUCGCGGCCUAUCAGCUUGUUGGUGGGGUAGUGGCCUACCAAGGCGACGACGGGUAGCCGGCCUGAGAGGGCGACCGGCCACACUGGGACUGAGACACGGCCCAGACUCCUACGGGAGGCAGCAGUGGGGAAUAUUGCGCAAUGGGCGGAAGCCUGACGCAGCGACGCCGCGUGGGGGAUGACGGCCUUCGGGUUGUAAACCUCUUUCAGCAGGGACGAAGUUGACGUGUACCUGCACAAGAAGCGCCGGCUAACUACGUGCCAGCAGCCGCGGUAAUACGUAGGGCGCAAGCGUUGUCCGGAAUUAUUGGGCGUAAAGAGCUCGUAGGUGGCUUGUCGCCGUCUGCCGNGAAAGCCCAUGGCUNAACUGUGGGUCUGCGGUGGAUACGGNCUGGCUAGAGGUAGGUAGGGGCCAAGCGGAAUUCCU
rnacentral:rRNA from 1 species